GCGCGGCGAUAGCACGGUGAAUGCGCCAAUUCCCAGUGGAUCAUGGAAGUUAAGCAAUGUUGGCCGUGGUUAAUAACCGAAUAGGUGACUAUCUGGGCAAUCCAUUGUUGCUGGCU
rfam:Asian citrus Psyllid, Diaphorina citri - Florida Strain, whole genome shotgun sequence.